GUGAUUUUCAACUUUGAAUUGUGAAAGUAAUUAUCAAUUCAAAUUAUGUUCUUGAAUUCAAAACUUUUAUUUUAUGAAAUAAAUAAAUAAUCAUAAAUAGAUAAAUUAUAAAUAAAACAGAAAACAAUGAAUUUUAACUUACUAGAAUUAAUUGAGAUAUCCUUCACUUUGUUUUAUAAAAUUCUUCCACAAUUCUCAACUUUCUUCUCUUAAUUAUUUUAUGUUUUUUUUCUUUUCUAAGGGUUCUUCUAUUUAUAAGAGUUCACUUUGUAUUUUUAAACUA
rnacentral:misc_RNA from 1 species